CAUCUCAACCCAUGGUCAGGGAACCUCCCACUGGAAGGUUCUGUGUGAAAUACUUACUCUGUAAAAGACUGUAAGAACUGCUCAGGAGAGUUGUCCAUCUGCAGAUGUCACUGAUUUGUGUUUGGCUGCCUUGCAGGUACCUGGGCCAGGGCUGUUCAUGGCCAGAUUGAUGUGCAGGUGCCAGGGCAGCAGGGCAGUGUGAGCUGGGAGGCCAUGGCAGGAUUCCUGGACAACUUCCGCUGGCCGGAGUGCGAGUGCAUCGACUGGAGCGAGCGCAGGAACGCCGUGGCCUCCAUCGUGGCCGGGGUGCUGUUUUUCACAGGCUGGUGGAUCAUGAUCGACGCCGCCGUCGUUUAUCCCAAGCCGGAGCAGCUCAACCACGCCUUCCACACCUGUGGGGUCUUCUCCACUCUGGCCUUCUUCAUGAUAAAUGCUGUAUCCAAUGCACAGGUGAGAGGAGACAGCUACAGUGAUGGAUGCUUAGGGAGAACAGGUGCUCGGAUCUGGCUCUUCAUCGGCUUCAUGCUGAUGUUUGGAUCCCUCAUUGCUUCCAUGUGGAUUCUCUUUGGAGCAUAUGUCACACAGAACACUAAUGUGUACCCUGGCUUAGCAGUGUUUUUCCAAAAUGCAUUAAUAUUUUUCAGUACUCUGAUCUACAAGUUUGGAAGGACAGAAGAGCUGUGGGGCUGAGCUCCCCCUGGGCUGGGCCAUAGUUACCACGUGGUUCUCUGUGUGUAGAUCAUUUACAGUUCUUUGUUCUUGGUUUGCUUUCCAAACCCUGGACUGAGACAAAUCCCAGGCUCUGUAAGAAGCUCCUCUUCUCCCAGGACACACUUGUGAAUAUGUACAUAGGACUGGAUCUCUUCCAAAGGGAAUGGCAGCCUGCCAGGCUUUCCUGCUGGAAUCUUCAGCCUUCUUCCUUCCACCCCAAGGCUUUCCAUCAUUUCAUCCUCCAAACCUCCCCCCGUGUCUGAGGCUUCAGUGAACUGUCAGUGAGCAAACAGGACAAAGCCCAUCCCUGGAACAGGACCAGGCCCAUCCCUGGAGCAGGGGCUGUGCUGGGAUAAGAGCUGAUUUUAAGAUUUUAUAUUAUUGUUCAGGUUCUGCAUGGCAAUCAAACUCCUCCUGACCUGUGAUGGCUCUGGCACAAAGGACAUUUGCUGGCACCACAGUCCUUGGAAUUAAUUUCAUGCUGCUCAGUGUAAGAGAUACCAAUUGGUAUUUAAUGUAUUUCCUGGUAUUAGAAUAAAAAACUCCAACAAACUGCUGCCAGUCCUACUUCAGGAAUAUAAAGAACAACCGAGAGUCAGACCAACAGCUUUCAAAUGGUUCUGGGAUUCUGUGAAAUCCCACAGGUGUUGUUUUCUCCAGGGGAAGCUUUUUGCUCAUAAAUGAACAGUUUUCCUGCACUUUUCCCCUUCUGCACCUAAAAGGUGAAUGUUCAGGUGAAUGAAUUCACCUAAAAGGUGAAUGGGGGCAUGGAUUUAUUUGUUGUUCACGGUCUGACCUUGAAAUAAUUGCCAGCUUUGGGGCUGUCCUUUGUCCCAGUUAAAAUGUGCCAGCUUUGGGGCUGCCCUUUGUCCCAAUUCAAAUGUGCUUAUCUCACGUUUCCUUGAUUGAAAUCCAGUUUCUUCUGUCUGGAGUGCACAGAAGGGAGGAAGAGGAUGUUUUAUAGCCUUGGGCUGAUCUUGUAUAUUCAUUUGCUGUUGGUGACUCCUUCUCUCACGAGUUCUCUGUGGCUUUUAAGGCAUUUGACUCUCC